UUUUUUUCAGAUUUUAUAUGUGUACAUCUCUAAAUAACGAAAUGUAACAGCUGUUAGAUUUGUUCUUUUUCAAUUGAAAUAUUUUUUUGACUGUUACGUAUUCAAUUGCAAAAUCCUCUUAAUUCACAAAAAGUUUCUUUAUUCUAAAAUUUCAAAUUUAGAGACUUAUCAAAGUACUGAAUUCUGAUAAUAAUCUACUUCUUUGAAGUGGCACGCUGUCUUCAAUGCAACUAAGUUUCGUUUACAUAUUUUUGACCAAUUUUUGAAACGUCCGAUUCGCUACACUCGAACGCUUGCAGAGUCGUUUAAUAUUUAGGUGCCACAAAGAACCGCUCGAAGUAAUGAAGAUAUCGCUACCGUUCGGAAAGUUGUCGAUUCCAAGACGUUCUGAAGAAUUGGGACUGUCUCAAACCACAACUUGGGGGACUUAAAAGGAUUUGGGCUUGCAUCCGAAUAAAACUGAUUUGAUGAAAAUUUAGUGAUUUGAUUUUUAAUUGCAAGCUAAGUGUUUUUAAGUUUUGUGUAUUAACUUAAAUUUUGUUGUCGGG